GACGAACGCUGGCGGCGUGCUUAACACAUGCAAGUCGAACGGAAAGGCCCUGCUUUUGUGGGGUGCUCGAGUGGCGAACGGGUGAGUAACACGUGAGUAACCUGCCCUUGACUUUGGGAUAACUUCAGGAAACUGGGGCUAAUACCGGAUAGGAGCUCCUGCUGCAUGGUGGGGGUUGGAAAGUUUCGGCGGUUGGGGAUGGACUCGCGGCUUAUCAGCUUGUUGGUGGGGUAGUGGCUUACCAAGGCUUUGACGGGUAGCCGGCCUGAGAGGGUGACCGGCCACAUUGGGACUGAGAUACGGCCCAGACUCCUACGGGAGGCAGCAGUGGGGAAUAUUGCACAAUGGGCGGAAGCCUGAUGCAGCAACGCCGCGUGCGGGAUGACGGCCUUCGGGUUGUAAACCGCUUUCGCCUGUGACGAAGCGUGAGUGACGGUAAUGGGUAAAGAAGCACCGGCUAACUACGUGCCAGCAGCCGCGGUGAUACGUAGGGUGCGAGCGUUGUCCGGAUUUAUUGGGCGUAAAGGGCUCGUAGGUGGUUGAUCGCGUCGGAAGUGUAAUCUUGGGGCUUAACCCUGAGCGUGCUUUCGAUACGGGUUGACUUGAGGAAGGUAGGGGAGAAUGGAAUUUCUGGUGGAGCGGUGGAAUGCGCAGAUAUCAGGAGGAACACCAGUGGCGAAGGCGGUUCUCUGGGCCUUUCCUGACGCUGAGGAGCGAAAGCGUGGGGAGCGAACAGGCUUAGAUACCCUGGUAGUCCACGCUGUAAACGGUGGGUACUAGGUGUGGGGUCCAUUCCACGGGUUCCGUGCCGUAGCUAACGCUUUAAGUACCCCGCCUGGGGAGUACGGCCGCAAGGCUAAAACUCAAAGGAAUUGACGGGGCCCCGCACAAGCGGCGGAGCAUGCGGAUUAAUUCGAUGCAACGCGUAGAACCUUACCUGGGUUUGACAUGGAUCGGGAGCGCUCAGAGAUGGGUGUGCCUCUUUUGGGGUCGGUUCACAGGUGGUGCAUGGCUGUCGUCAGCUCGUGUCGUGAGAUGUUGGGUUAAGUCCCGCAACGAGCGCAACCCUUGUUCACUGUUGCCAGCACGUUAUGGUGGGGACUCAGUGGAGACCGCCGGGGUCAACUCGGAGGAAGGUGGGGAUGACGUCAAGUCAUCAUGCCCCUUAUGUCCAGGGCUUCACGCAUGCUACAAUGGCUGGUACAGAGAGUGGCGAGCCUGUGAGGGUGAGCGAAUCUCGGAAAGCCGGUCUCAGUUCGGAUUGGGGUCUGCAACUCGACCUCAUGAAGUCGGAGUCGCUAGUAAUCGCAGAUCAGCAACGCUGCGGUGAAUACGUUCCCGGG
rnacentral:rRNA from 1 species